UACGGAGGGGGCUAGCGUUGUUCGGAAUUAUUGGGCGUAAAGGGCGCGUAGGCGGCCGGAUAAGUCUGACGUGAAAUCCCUCGGCCUAACCGGGGAACUGCGUUUGAAACUGGAUGGCUUGAGGUUGGGAGAGGUAAGCGGAAUUCCUGGUGUAGCGGUGAAAUGCGUAGAUAUCAGGAGGAACACCUGUGGUGUAGACAGCUUACUGGACCACUUCUGACGCUGAGACACGAAAGCGUGGGUAGCAAACAGG
rnacentral:rRNA from 1 species